rnacentral:rRNA from 1 species
GAUGAACGCUGGCGGCGUGCUUAACACAUGCAAGUCGAACGAAGCAUUUGCGACAGAUUUUUUCGGAAUGAAGUUGCUUAUGACUGAGUGGCGGACGGGUGAGUAACGCGUGGGUAACCUGCCUUGUACUGGGGGAUAGCAGCUGGAAACGGCUGGUAAUACCGCAUAAGCGCACAAUGUUGCAUGACAUGGUGUGAAAAACUCCGGUGGUAUAAGAUGGACCCGCGUCUGAUUAGCUAGUUGGUGAGAUAACAGCCCACCAAGGCGACGAUCAGUAGCCGACCUGAGAGGGUGACCGGCCACAUUGGGACUGAGACACGGCCCAGACUCCUACGGGAGGCAGCAGUGGGGAAUAUUGCACAAUGGAGGAAACUCUGAUGCAGCGACGCCGCGUGAGUGAAGAAGUAAUUCGUUAUGUAAAGCUCUAUCAGCAGGGAAGAUAGUGACGGUACCUGACUAAGAAGCUCCGGCUAAAUAUGUG